GUUAUAUUUUGUGUAAAAGAAAAAAAAUAUACAUAAAAGGAAAUAGUAUUUAUUGUACAAAAAAGUAGGUUUCACAGAGCAUAUACAUAUCCAUGAUUCUUUGUAUGGCAGGAUGUCCAGUUCAUGUCUGUUGAAAAUAUGUUUCCCAGCAGAGCCAGAGCCAGGAAAAGAUUUUGAGCCAUUGGUAGAGACAGGGGUGCAAGUAGUAUGUUAUGGAAAUGUGUUCUAGAAAUUGUGAGUGUCAGUAAGAAAUUAUAUAGAGGGGCAGAUUUGAAGGGAAAUUAUCAGCCAUGGAGGGAAAGAAUGGGUAUAGAAUGUUAGAAUAUUAACCCGGUAGCAGCGACGGGCUGAAUUUGUGGCUUUACCGUGUAGCAGCGACGGGCCAAAUUUGUGCCAUGAUAUAAACCCCCCAAAUGCUUUGAUAUAUAUUAUGAAAUGGCUUGUCUGAGGGGUGAUUUUUUCUCAUUUUUCUCGCUGCUACCGGGUUAAGGUGGGCAAGAGGGAGCUGAGAGAUUGAGGCCUCGUACAGUAAGAGAGUGAAAUAAUAUGGAAAGGAGGUGAUAGGGCAAAGUUAUGUAUGGGAUGAGAAAAUGCAACUACCACCACCACCACUACUACUACUAAAAUAAUAAUAAUAAUAAUAAUAAUAAUAAUAAUAAUAAUAAUAAUAAUAAUAAUAACAACAACAACAAUAUAGCUUUCCUUCAAUAUACUCUGGAUUAACUUGGUAGCAGCGGCAGGCCAAAUUUGUGGCUUUACCGUGCAGCAGUAACGGGCCAAAUUUGUGCCAUGAUAUAAACCACCCAAAAUAGAUGAUACAUACUCUGAUCAGAAAUGCUUUGAUAUAUAUGUAUUAUGAAAUGGUUUGUGUGAGGGGUGAUUUUUUCUCAUUUUUCUCGCUUGGAGGGACCAUUAAGAAACAUGAUCCCCGCUACUACUGGGUUAAAAGGAACACAAAUAUACCUAACCUAGCAAGACUUCCAAUGGUAGUCUAGCUGUCCCCUGUACUAAAAGAUCUUGUCUCCUCAACCCUCAUAUGCAUAUAUCAACAUUAGCUAGAAUGGCUAGGGCGGCUUCUGGUCAAGGGAGGCCAGUUACUUGUGAACCAACCAGCCAGCCACCCACAUCUCUGAACUUUGAGCCUAUACGUGGUGUGUGUUAGUGGUAGUCCAUGAAGAGGAUAAAUUAGUGUAUUCACCCCCUAUAUCAGUCUUUGUGCUCACUUUGUUAGCUCAAUCAUAUGACUUCAAACAUGUAAUUUUGCUGCGCUUUCCUUAACCCGGUACCAGCGACGGGCCAAAUUUGUGGCAUUACCGUGUAGCAGUGACGGGCCAAAUUUGUGCCAUGAUAUAAACCCCCCCAAAAAGAUGAUACAUAAUCUGAUCACAAAUGCUUUGAUAUAUUUUAUGAAAUGGUUUGUGUGAGGGGUGAUUUUUUCCCAUUUUUCUUGCUUAGAGGGACCAUUAAGAAACAUGAUCCCCACUGCUACCGGGUUAACUUCCAGAUUAGUGAUAUGACUCCCCCGAGGCAAAGGAAAGUUGAUGGUACUCUCUCUAGGCCAAAGAGGGGUCAUUACAUGCUUACUAAUCUAGUGACUCGCCCGGACUGCUAUAAGAAUCCCCGCUCCCUCAGGAUGUUGUUCCUGACGCGUCCAUCCCCUGGGUACUGCUGCUCCAGCUCAUCGUUGGGGAUGUAGUGCGUCCCGGUAAACUCCUUGAAGUACUUGCCGACGUCUGGGUGACCGAUUGGCACUGGCUCUUCAUUAACCAACAGAUGCUCCUGAGCAGCAUAUCUGUAAAUAUGAGGUACAUUAGAGUCACCCGGGCACCUUCCUGAGGCACACCAAUGGGAGGUAGUAAUACAAAUUCAAACUGCCAUAAUUAUUUUGGAAAGCCAAUGUCCAGAGCUGUAUGUGGAGAAAGUGAAGUAAAAUGUAGUAAUUGUAGAAUAAUGGUGUUGUGGGUAACAUGCCUGGCUCACAAUUGAAAACAUGUAGGUUUGGGGCUGACAAACCUGGGGCCAGAUUCAUCACACCCUUUACAUGACCUGUUGUUGGUAAGUCUUCUGGUAACUCAGUCCACUACGAAUGCUCUUGAUCUUUAGGCGACUCAGAUGGCAGUGAAUGAAGUGACCACCCGGCUGCUACUUCAAUCAUUGCCACUGAAGCCACCUAAACACAAGGAGCAUUCAUGCUGGACAGAUUUACCAGAAGACUUACGAAUGAGAAGUUUUGAGAGUGGCUUGAUGAAUCGUACCCCUAGCUUGUGGCCUCAGAGUUGAGAACCACCAUGUGUGGGCACAGCCUUAACAAUUUAAAACUGCAAUUCCUCAAUCGUACCAUCUCCCGAGUAUUAAAACUUAGGCCUGAUUUUUUUAAAGAUAACCAAGGGUAAUUUUUGUCACUGAUAUAUGAAGAACUUUAUUUUACACACCAGAAAAUGAACAUUUCACUCGUUAUGUCAGAUUCAUACCACACAAUGAGGCAUCAAAUUAGCUUAGGGGGAGGAGCGUCCUUAGGGUUAGUGGGGGAGGGGAGAUGUGAUGGCUAAGAGAACUGUAUCCUCCUCAAAUAGGCCUGCCACCAAAGAGUGCACUUUACUACUCAUUCUUAGGGCCGCUUUCACAUUCACUUUGUUUGUUUUGAUCGUUGCCAAUCGACGCUUUAGUUUUCCACGUGAAACUGGCCUCUGGGGGGGAGAGAGAGAGAGAGAGAGAGAGAGAGAGAGAGAGAGAGAAGAGAAGAGAAGAGAAGAGAAGAGAAGAGAGAGAGAGAGAGAGACCACAGGCCCCACAGGAUGUCGCCCCACAGGAAGUUUGACAAACCCCACAGACACAUAAAUAGGUCUCUCUCUCAUGCACCUUGGGAGGGGAUAUCCAGCAUACCAAUACUACAUGGGAAACAGUCCACUAUCCACCACAGAGGAAGACGGGAGUAUAAGUUACCAGGCUACUAGUGAAGGCAAAAUCUGUGCCGACUGCAGCGGAUGGGUUAACAGGUAACUGUUUUCUAAGGUUACAAUACAUGCUUUCCUGAUAUGAGGUGAUUGGUGUGAAAAAAAAAUCAAAUAUACAAAAUGAACAAGA